rnacentral:piRNA from 1 species
UAAUGACUUUGCCAGCAGCUCAGGAUGCCA